UCGAGUUAGCAAAGAGAAAAUGUUCAUAGAACUUCUUUAUUUGAAAAUGUAAAUAUUAGGCAUGUUAAAUGUUGACUGGUCAUUUUCUAUUCCAAUACAUGAGAGAAAAAUGAUUUGGGUAACUCCCACGCAUACUUUUAUUGUUGAUAACUCCCACGCAAUAUUUUAUGGGCAAGCAAUAUCUAUGCAGGUUAUAGCCUAGAUAUUGAAUGGACAAAAUCAUGACUGAUGCAUUUAGCCUUAAACGUUCAAAGAAUUUUGAAUAAUAUUAAAAAUACCGCCAAAAGGUCCUGGAUAGAAUAAAGCCCCUAUGGAUAGCAGAAUACAUACUCACGUGAAUAUAUUAAAUGAAGUUUCGAUAUAGAUGAAUUAAUCGCAGAAAUUAAAAUACAAGUCUCAAAUAUAAGAAGGAGGUCGAUUUCAGUUUAAGCACAAUUACAGUUGUCAUUUUUCAUAGUUUGCAGAUAUGGACGGUUCCAGCUCGGAUAUUGUUUGUGGAUAAUGUUGGACAACAUUUGUCUUAAUGACCACAUAAACUGGCUACUCGGCACAGGACCUUGUAAAUGUUGUGGCAAGUCGAAACGUGACAGACCCUGGUCCUGGCUGAAAUUUAGAGUAUUACAGCUGUAGCUUCUAUACCAUAAAUUUAACAUGGAAAAGACUGUUCUUGGGAAAAUGCUGACGUAACUGAUUGGAGCAGUUUUUCUUACCAAUCAUAGAAGCAGUAGAAGUAUUCAAACACCAUCAUGAAACACUUAAGACAUACCCAGAGAGCUCUAGAAGAAGUACUAGUGGUAGAUUGGAACAGAUUGUAGCUUAAUUGUUAAACUAAAAGGACUUCUUAAAUCGUUUGAAUUUAAGCUACACUUGAACUGUAGUUUUGAAAUAAAAUAGCUGAAGUAUUUAA